rnacentral:rRNA from 1 species
AGAGUUUGAUCCUGGCUCAGAUUGAACGCUGGCGGCAUGCUUUACACAUGCAAGUCGGACGGCAGCACAGAGAAGCUUGCUUCUUGGGUGGCGAGUGGCGAACGGGUGAGUAACAUAUCGGAACGUACCGAGCAGUGGGGGAUAACUAAUCGAAAGAUUAGCUAAUACCGCAUAUAUUCUGAGGAAGAAAGCAGGGGACCAUUUGGCCUUGCGCUGUUUGAGCGGCCGAUAUCUGAUUAGCUAGUUGGUGGGGUAAAGGCCUACCAAGGCGACGAUCAGUAGCGGGUCUGAGAGGAUGAUCCGCCACACUGGGACUGAGACACGGCCCAGACUCCUACGGGAGGCAGCAGUGGGGAAUUUUGGACAAUGGGCGCAAGCCUGAUCCAGCCAUGCCGCGUGUCUGAAGAAGGCCUUCGGGUUGUAAAGGACUUUUGUCAGGGAAGAAAAGGGCGGGGUUAAUACCCCUGUCUGAUGACGGUACCUGAAGAAUAAGCACCGGCUAACUACGUGCCAGCAGCCGCGGUAAUACGUAGGGUGCGAGCGUUAAUCGGAAUUACUGGGCGUAAAGCGGGCGCAGACGGUUACUUAAGCAGGAUGUGAAAUCCCCGGGCUCAACCUGGGAACUGCGUUCUGAACUGGGUGACUAGAGUGUGUCAGAGGGAGGUAGAAUUCCACGUGUAGCAGUGAAAUGCGUAGAGAUGUGGAGGAAUACCGAUGGCGAAGGCAGCCUCCUGGGAUAACACUGACGUUCAUGCCCGAAAGCGUGGGUAGCAAACAGGAUUAGAUACCCUGGUAGUCCACGCCCUAAACGAUGUCGAUUAGCUGUUGGGCAGCAUGACUGCUUAGUAGCGAAGCUAACGCGUGAAAUCGACCGCCUGGGGAGUACGGUCGCAAGAUUAAAACUCAAAGGAAUUGACGGGGACCCGCACAAGCGGUGGAUGAUGUGGAUUAAUUCGAUGCAACGCGAAGAACCUUACCUGGUCUUGACAUGUACGGAACCCUCCAGAGACGGAGGGGUGCCUUCGGGAGCCGUAACACAGGUGCUGCAUGGCUGUCGUCAGCUCGUGUCGUGAGAUGUUGGGUUAAGUCCCGCAACGAGCGCAACCCUU